ensembl:lncRNA
UUUUUUUGUUUAGACUCUAAUUGUUUUAAUUUCCACUCAGUGAGAGUUCUUUGGAUUUUCCAACACUGUGUGCAAACUCCUAUUGGAGGGUAUCCACAUUCACAAUGUGUCUACCAUUUAUCCUGGCAUACCUUACACCUAAAACAAGCAAAUGGAUAACAAUUGCAGUUCAAAUCAUUACACCUAAUUCAUAUAUCUAGAGUGCAUAUAUUAUUUACAUCAACAUAUCUUCUAUUUUUAAUAUUGUGAGGUUGCAUAAGUUUAGCAAUUUCCUUCAACACACUUUGUACGCUUCCAUAUAUAAUAGAAAAAAAGAGAAAUAAUUAUAGCAAAUAUAAAUAGCAAUACACACUUUAUACCGAGAGGUAAUGCGGUAAAAUAAUCGAAUAAAGUCUUUAUCAUUACGUUAUCUUUUCAGGGUUAUCUUGGUGUCACCUGGAGUACUGAUUACUUUCCAGUAGGGUCUCGUCACUGGGCCUUUAAUGCGACUGGCAUGAGUCCAUCCACGCUCAGCAGUUCGGACAGCUGUUUCUGUUGUAAGCAAAACAAGAUAAGGUCCCUCCCAAUUGGGUUUUAGGGUUUCUUCCUUCCACACUUUAAUCAAUAUCCAAUCCCCAGGUUUAACAUUAUGAAUUUUUAAGUCCAACGGGGGUCGUUGUACAAUCAGUCCAUGUUCCCAAAGCUUGUUACGAUGUUCUGCUAAUUGUGAAACAUAUUCAUUAAUCACACGGUCUCGAAUUAAAACAUUUGUUUGUGGACUUUCAAUUCUAUAAGACAUUCCAUACACCAUUUCAAACGCUGAUAUUCCUACAUCUGCUCGGGGUCUGGUUCUGAGAAUUAAUAGUGCCAUGGGUAGGCACUUAAUCCAUGAUAAUUUGGUUUCUAUCAUUAAUUUAGUCAAAAUAGUUUUGAUUUCUCCAUUUAUCCUUUCAACUUUUCCCGAACUUUGUGGAUGCCAUGGUGUAUGGUAUUCCCACUUAAUCCCCAAGCUUUCAGCUAGAUCUUUAACAAUUUUUGACACAAAGUGUGUUCCUCUGUCCGAGUCGAUUACUUCAGGUACUCCAUAUCGAGGUAUAAUGUGUUCAAGUAACACUUUAGUAACCUGGUUAGCAGUUGCCUUGGAGGUAGGAAAAGCCUCAACAUAAUGUGUUAAAUGAUCCACCAUUACUAAUAAAUGUUUGUAACGCCCUACCCUGGGUAGUUCAGUAAAAUCCACUUGUAUGUGUGAGAAAGGUCUGUAUGCUGGGGAACGUCCUCCAAGAGGUUUUUGUCUCAUGUUGCUUCGAUUAACCUUUUGACAGGUCUCGCAGCCUGCCGUGACUAUCUUUGCUAUGUUAUAUACGCCUAUACUGGCAAACUGUUGAUUGAAAUGAUCAACUAACGCCUGGGUUCCCCAGUGUGUUUUACUGUGUAUUUUUGAAAAUAUCUCGAGUGCUAUGCCCUUCGGCAAGAGUUCCCUCCCAUCUGGCAAUAUGUACUUACCAUCUUGUUCCUUAGCUCCCAUUUGUUCUAGUUUUUCCUUUUCUGCAGACUCAAAACUUAAAUUUUUACUAACAGGUACUUGUUGCAUAGUCAAAAUCAUACCAUAAUUGCCUGCCACUCGUUUUGCUUCUGUAUCAGCUGCAUUAUUUCCCCUAAUUUGAUAACUUGUACCUCGCUGGUGUCCCUUUAUAUCACAAGACACUUUGUGUCAAAAAUUGUUAAAGAUCUAGCUGAAAGCUUGGGGAUUAAGUGGGAAUACCAUACACCAUGGCAUCCACAAAGUUCAGGAAAAGUUGAAAGGAUAAAUGGAGAAAUCAAAACUAUUUUGACUAAAUUAAUGAUAGAAACCAAAUUAUCAUGGAUUAAGUGCCUACCCAUGGCACUAUUAAUUCUCAGAACCAGACCCCGAGCAGAUGUAGGAAUAUCAGCGUUUGAAAUGGUGUAUGGAAUGUCUUAUAGAAUUGAAAGUCCACAAACAAAUGUUUUAAUUCGAGACCGUGUGAUUAAUGAAUAUGUUUCACAAUUAGCAGAACAUCGUAACAAGCUUUGGGAACAUGGACUGAUUGUACAACGACCCCCGUUGGACUUAAAAAUUCAUAAUGUUAAACCUGGGGAUUGGAUAUUGAUUAAAGUGUGGAAGGAAGAAACCCUAAAACCCAAUUGGGAGGGACCUUAUCUUGUUUUGCUUACAACAGAAACAGCUGUCCGAACUGCUGAGCGUGGAUGGACUCAUGCCAGUCGCAUUAAAGGCCCAGUGACGAGACCCCACUGGAAAGUAAUCAGUACUCCAGGUGACACCAAGAUAACCCUGAAAAGAUAACGUAAUGAUAAAGACUUUAUUUGAUUAUUUUGCCGCAUUACCUUUCGGUAUAAAGUGUGUAUUGCUGUUUAUAUUUGCUAUAAUUAUUUCUCUUUUUUUCUAUUAUAUAUGGAAGCGUACAAAGUGUGUUGAAGGAAAUUGCUAAACUUAUGCAACCUCACAAUAUUAAAAAUAGAAGAUAUGUUGAUGUAAAUAAUAUAUGCACUCUAGAUAUAUGAAUUAGGUGUAAUGAUUUGAACUGCAAUUGUUAUCCAUUUGCUUGUUUUAGGUGUAAGGUAUGCCAGGAUAAAUGGUAGACACAUUGUGAAUGUGGAUACCCUCCAAUAGGAGUUUGCACA